rnacentral:rRNA from 1 species
AACGAACGCUGACGGUAGGCCUAACACAUGCAAGUCGAUCGCUGUCUUCGGACAGAGAGGCGCACGGGUGAGUAACACGUGGGAACAUACCCUUAAGUGCGGAAUAACUAUUGGAAACGAUAGCUAAUACCGCAUACGCCCUACGGGGGAAAGAUUUAUCGCUUAAGGAUUGGCCCGCGUCUGAUUAGCUAGUUGGCGGGGUAACGGCCCACCAAGGCGACGAUCAGUAGCUGGUUUGAGAGAAUGAUCAGCCACACUGGGACUGAGACACGGCCCAGACUCCUACGGGAGGCAGCAGUGGGGAAUAUUGGACAAUGGGCGCAAGCCUGAUCCAGCCAUGCCGCGUGAGUGAAGAAGGCCUUCGGGUUGUAAAGCUCUUUCAGACGUGAAGAUGAUGACGGUAGCGUCAGAAGAAGCCCCGGCUAACUUCGUGCCAGCCGCCGCCGUAA